rnacentral:rRNA from 1 species
AUGGCUUUCGCUCUACGGGCCCUUCACCACCGCCUCCCCCGCUCUCUCCACCACUCCAAUCCCCUCUCCACCUCCGCCUCAUCCCACGACCUCCGCGAGCUCCUCCGCAUCCAACGCAUCCUCGGUGACCCCGCAGCAACCACCCAACCCCCACAAACGCAACAACGCCCACUAGCCUCCAGCACCACGGACCUGCACCGACUGCUCCACCGCGCGGCCGGCCUCAGCACCGCCGAGGCCACGUCCCUGCUCCACCGCGUCCCUAACACCCACCGCCUGGGCCACCUUCUCCAAGAACUUCGUGGCCUGCGCCUCCCGGCGGACGAGAUCAAGAACGCCCUCGGGUCCGACCCCGACGGGCUCCUCUCCAUGGAGCCGGGCGAGCCGUCCCGCCUCAUCGAGCUCCUGGACGAGCUCCGCUGCCGGGCGCCCAUCAAGGACCAGGUCCUCUCUCACGGCGUGCUCAGCGCCGCAAUCGCCACGAGGCGGCGGGUAGAGCUCCUGCACGAGCGCGGGCUGAGCCGGCGGGACGCGCUGAGGGUGAUCUCCGUUGAGCCCAGGGCAAUUUUAUAUAGCCUGGAGGAUGUGGAGAGGAAGGUGGAGUUCUUGGUGGGCAGGAUGGGGUUUGAGAUCGGUUGGCUGGUGGAGUACCCGGAGUUCUUGGGGAUAAAUCUCGACAGGUCGAUCGUCCCGCGGCACAAUGUGGUGGAGUAUUUGGCGUCGGUGGGUGGGCUUGGGGACCCCAUUGAGAUGAGGCAUUAUGUGAGAUUCAGCCGCCUCAAGUUCUACAAUCUGUUCGUGAAGCCAUACCUGGAGUGCGAGAGGAUUUUCGGGGGCCUAGUCAGGGAGAGAAAGGAUGAGGUGAGGCGCCAGCAUCCGGUGGGGUUGUGGAAGCUGUUUAAGCCGGCGAAGUAUGAGAGCACUGAGGAGAAUGUGAAGGACAUGAAGUUGGUUGUUGAAUCACUUCAUUAG